UGGCGGACGGGUGAGUAAUGCCUAGGAAUCUGCCUGGUAGUGGGGGAUAACGUUCGGAAACGAACGCUAAUACCGCAUACGUCCUACGGGAGAAAGCAGGGGACCUUCGGGCCUUGCGCUAUCAGAUGAGCCUAGGUCGGAUUAGCUAGUUGGUGAGGUAAUGGCUCACCAAGGCGACGAUCCGUAACUGGUCUGAGAGGAUGAUCAGUCACACUGGAACUGAGACACGGUCCAGACUCCUACGGGAGGCAGCAGUGGGGAAUAUUGGACAAUGGGCGAAAGCCUGAUCCAGCCAUGCCGCGUGUGUGAAGAAGGUCUUCGGAUUGUAAAGCACUUUAAGUUGAGAGGAAGGGCAGUUACCUAAUACGUGAUUGUUUUGACGUUACCGACAGAAUAAGCACCGGCUAACUCUGUGCCAGCAGCCGCGGUAAU
rnacentral:rRNA from 1 species